rnacentral:tRNA from 1 species
GCCCGGAUAGCUCAGUCGGUAGAGCAGAGGAUUGAAAAUCCUCGUGUCGGUGGUUCGAUUCCGCCUC